AUGGACGCACUCACGGUACUGAUUUGCAUAGCGGAAGAGGAAGGCGUCCUCAGCUCGUUCCGUGGCAUCUCGUCAAUGCAACGUUUGUCCAUCUCCGCGGACGACGUCGUCAUGUUUAUCAAGCCAUCGGAGCAAGAUCUAUACCAUGUCAGAGAGGUGUUGCAUGUGUUUGGGGUGGCUUCUGGCUUGCGGACCAAUUAUGCAAAAUUGGCUGCAAUCUCUACUGGUGGCUCGGACGAGAGGAGACAGAGGGUUUUGAAUAUCUUGUUGUGCCCGAUUGGAGUGUUCCCUUGUCGCUAUCUUUGUAUUCCUCUUGCCAUCAACAAGUUAGGUCAAACAUAUUGGUAG
rnacentral:rRNA from 1 species